ACGGAAGGCAGCAGUGGGGAAUAUUGCACAAUGGGGGAAACCCUGAUGCAGCGACGCCGCGUGAGUGAAGAAGUAUUUCGGUAUGUAAAGCUCUAUCAGCAGGAAAGAAAAUGACGGUACCUGACUAAGUAGCCCCGGCUAACUACGUGCCAGCAGCCGCGGUAAUACGUAGGGGGCAAGCGUUAUCCGGAUUUACUGGGUGUAAAGGGAGCGUAGACGGCUUUGCAAGUCUGAAGUGAAAGCCCGGGGCUCAACCCCGGAACUGCUUUGGAAACUGUAGAGCUAGAGUGCAGGAGAGGUAAGUGGAAUUCCUAGUGUAGCGGUGAAAUGCGUAGAUAUUAGGAGGAACACCAGUGGCGAAGGCGGCUUACUGGACUGUAACUGACGUUGAGGCUCGAAGGCGUGGGGAGCAAACAGGAUUAGAUACCCUGGUA
rnacentral:rRNA from 1 species